rnacentral:misc_RNA from 1 species
CCAAUAGCGUAUAUUAAAGUUGUUGUGGUUAAAAAGCUCGUAGUUGAACCUUGGGCCUGGCUGGCCGGUCCGCCUCACCGCGUGUACUGGUCCGGCCGGGCCUUUCCCUCUGUGGAACCCCAUGCCCUUCACUGGGCGUGGCGGGGAAACAGGACUUUUACUUUGAAAAAAUUAGAGUGCUCCAGGCAGGCCUAUGCUCGAAUACAUUAGCAUGGAAUAAUAGAAUAGGACGUGCGGUUCUAUUUUGUUGGUUUCUAGGACCGCCGUAAUGAUUAAUAGGGACAGUCGGGGGCAUCAGUAUUCAAUUGUCAGAGGUGAAAUUCUUGGAUUUAUUGAAGACUAACUACUGCGAAAGCAUUUGCCAAGGAUGUUUUCAUUAAUCAGGAACGAAAGUUAGGGGAUCGAAGACGAUCAGAUACCGUCGUAGUCUUAACCAUAAACUAUGCCGACUAGGGAUCGGACGAUGUUACUUAUUGACUCGUUCGGCACCUUACGAGAAAACAAGUGUUUGGGUUC